AGUGAACGCUGGCGGUAGGCCUAACACAUGCAAGUCGAACGGCAGCACAGUAAGAGCUUGCUCUUACGGGUGGCGAGUGGCGGACGGGUGAGGAAUACAUCGGAAUCUACUUUUUCGUGGGGGAUAACGUAGGGAAACUUACGCUAAUACCGCAUACGACCUACGGGUGAAAGCAGGGGAUCUUCGGACCUUGCGCGAUUGAAUGAGCCGAUGUCGGAUUAGCUAGUUGGCGGGGUAAAGGCCCACCAAGGCGGCGAUCCGUAGCUGGUCUGAGAGGAUGAUCAGCCACACUGGAACUGAGACACGGUCCAGACUCCUACGGGAGGCAGCAGUGGGGAAUAUUGGACAAAGGGCGCAAGCCUGAUCCAGCCAUUCCGCGUGGGUGAAGAAGGCCUUCGGGUUGUAAAGCCCUUUUGUUGGGAAAGAAAAGCAGCAGGUUAAUACCCCGCUGUUCUGACGGUACCCAAAGAAUAAGCACCGGCUAACUUCGUG
rnacentral:rRNA from 1 species